AGGACGAACGCUGGCGGCGUGCUUAACACAUGCAAGUCGAGCGGAAAGGCCCUUCGGGGUACUCGAGCGGCGAACGGGUGAGUAACACGUGAGCAACCUGCCCUUAGCUCUGGGAUAGCUCCGGGAAACCGGAAUUAAUACCGGAUAUUACACCGGCUGGCAUCGGCUGGUGUGGAAAGAUUUAUCGGCUAAGGAUGGACUCGCGGCCUAUCAGCUUGUUGGUGGGGUAGAAGCCUACCAAGGCGACGACGGGUAGCCGG
rnacentral:rRNA from 1 species